rnacentral:lncRNA from 10 species
CACAAUGUUGAAAGGAAUGCAUUACAGUUCCCACAAACACACACCCCUCCCUGCAACCACUACAAGAUAUGCAAGCAACUCUGAGCUGACUUGGAUCUAAUUCUUCCCAAUUCAUGCCACAAGCCCAACUCAUCAGCUGAUACCUGAGGAUGAUCCACUGCUCACUGAGCGUGGUCAGGGAGCGCCGCUGUCGGACGAGCAUCUUCAUCAAAUGUGCUGAGAACCCUCUGCACCUCUCCACGUUGCCCAUGCCCAUUUCCUGGCAGAAGAAGGAAAAACAUGCUGAAGGGGCUGCUGACAAACAUCACCCACAGAUGUGCCUCUAGAAAGCUGUUUCUACUAUAAGCGUCAGACAUGCCACACUCUAGAGGAGUUGCUAGUGCUGCGUUAAGCCUGGCAUGCCGUGCAAGAGAGCGAUAAAAAUACUUCUGGCAUCCAUCCCAUGAAGACGAGAUUUCUGUAAGCAGCCUGGAAAAGAUAUCAACAUUGUUUACUUAAUUAAAACCACGCUCUCCCACCCCAGAUCCUGAAAACUCAGAUAUUGGUAUAUUUGGCCAUAACCAAGAGUCAGCUGUCUGAAUAGGUUUAUUUCUAUGAGGAAUCAUUCAGUGAGGCACUCAUUAGUCCUUUACUUAACUCAGCACUGGAAGUAUCAGGGGAAAUAAAUUAUGCUGACAACAUGGUUUCUUCAAUGAAAUCUUCCUAUCUUGGCAGUGGAGGCUAGGGGGUCAUAAACUCUGAUGCCUACAGGGGCCAGGCAAAUAACAUAAGAGGACUAAGGACAGCCAAGCAUACAAUGAUGCAUGGCAGUGACAGCUGACCUCAACGUGGGGAAGACACAGGGGUUGUUGAGGGCUCAAGUAAGCUGGAGAGCAUGUGUCCUAUCAAAAGGAGGAAACUACUAUUCAGCUACAGUGCUGCUGACUGAAUGGGAAUGCAAGCCCACUUCGUGAAUUUUCCUGAAAAAGAAUGCUUAUGUAAAAUUUCCCCUUUCUACAAUGUUCUGUUGAAUUCAAAUUUAAAGCCCUGGGAGCAAAUAAAACACACAUGUGUACUAUACCCAGUUCAUGCAAAGCAUCAUUCACAACAUCCUCUGCUGUGUUGUAAACAGAGGUAGCUCUGCCUGUCUCAAUAGUGUAUGGACUCGCAAAUUCAAUAACAUAUUAGAACUUAUGAGGAGUGUAUGUAUAUAGAGCAACUAAAAAUAUACCAUUUUCUAAUAGGUUUCCACAUGUAUGAUCAAAUGAAGCAAGUAGACCUCAGGAAAAUCAAAAGGCAAAAAAAAAAAAAAAAAAGGGAAGAAGAAGAAGAAUGGAGAGGUGAAUGCAAG